AUGGGAAGAGGGGGGAGUGGGAAUCCCACUCCCCACUCCAAAAUUGGGUGGGACCCACAGAUUCCCACUCCCACUCCCUCAUUUUUUAAGCUAAGUAAACACUGGAGUGGGAGGAAUCCACACUCCACACUCCCACUCCAGAAAGUAAACACUGCCUACAUGCAUUUAUUUCCAUUCGUGCUUGCAUUAAAUCUUACGCAUACUUUUCCAUACAUUAAGUUCUUCAGUGAGCAUGCAUUUAAUAAUGAUACAUGCUUAUCAAAAUGAGCCUCUUUAGCUUCUAAUCCUUUAUUUGUAGUUACUAUAUCCUUAAAUUUUAAUUAAAAAUAAAUAAAAUAAAUAUUCAAUGUAUGUGAAUCAGUAAUGUAUGUAUGCAUAUUAGGAUUUAGUGUUUUAGACUCGACUCAUCUUUUAGAAUGAUUGGUACUCUACUAACUUGUUUCACAAAACAUUGAAUUGUUGGCUAAAGUCUCCUAAGUAGGCCUAGCUAGCUAAGAAUUCAAUGCAAAUUGAGCCGUACUUUAGUGUAUUUAUAUUUUCUAAACCAUAGUCCACAAUGAUUUUCCUAACACAAUGGCUUGGGUCUACCAUGAAAUAUGUUCCUUAUUGGUUGAUUGGACUUUUUGAUUAAUAAAUGUAAUUUAUAAAAU
rnacentral:lncRNA from 1 species